rnacentral:misc_RNA from 1 species
GAUGAAGAACGCAGCGAAAUGCGAUACUUGGUGUGAAUUGCAGAAUCCCGUGAACCAUCGAGUCUUUGAACGCAAGUUGCGCCCGAAGCCAUUAGGCCGAGGGCACGCCUGCCUGGGCGUCACACGUCGUUGCCCCCCCAUCUACUCCUUCGGGAUUGCGGGGGGCGGAUGAUGGCCUCUCGUGCGCCUCGUCGCGCGGUUGGCCUAAAUGCCAAGUCCUCGGCGACGCACGCCACGACAAUCGGUGGUUGCGGAACCUCGGUUGCCUGUCGUGUGCGGUCGUCGCGCAUCGAGGGCUCGAAAAAAUUGCCGGGCUUCGGCUCGACUUUCAACGCGACCCCAGGUCAGGCGGGGUUACCCGCUGAAUUUAAGCAUAUCAAUAAGCGGAGG